rnacentral:rRNA from 1 species
GGUGAGGUAACCUUUUGGAGCCAGCCGCCGAAGGUGGGACAGAUGAUUGGGGUGAAGUCGUAACAAGGUAGCCGUAUCGGAAGGUGCGGCUGGAUCACCUCCUUUCUAAGGAA